rnacentral:tRNA from 1 species
CGGGGUGUAGCUUAGUUUGGUAGAGCGCCUGCUUUGGGAGCAGGAGGUCGCUGGUUCAAAUCCAGUCACCCCGA